GUUUUUUUCAUUUUCUGAGACCGGAAGUGGUCAUCAGCAAAUGCAGAGCCAAACGACAAGAUUCUCAGAGGGCGGAGUCAGAGAGCAGCGAUUGGUCAGACCACAGAGAAUAUAGAAGACAGCGCGCUAGCUUAUCUAGUCUGUGUACCUAUGGUCGGCACGUCUGGUAGCGUCUCUGGCUGCUGUUGACCUUGUUUUUGGAGUAAAACACGGUGGAAGCUGAAUUAGUGAGGAUGACUCCUGCUCCUGUCAUCUCUAAGCUCCUCACACAUCUUUACCUGCACAUGAGGAAAAUCACUCCUGUAGAAUGCAGUGGUUCAUCAUAACCUCUGGGGAUGUCCUGUGGAUUCUGUGGAUCCUGUGGGUUGCAGGGUGGGUCCUACCGAGACCAGGCUGAUCCUGGACCAUCCCACAGAUGCUCAGUCAGAUCUGGAUGUGGGGAGUGUGGAACCCAGAUGUUCAGAGGGAGAUGAUGCCACAUCUGGUCCAGCUGAUGGAAGGUCUUGAAGUUCUCUGACUGGCCUCGACUGAAGACGGUCGUCUCACUGGAUUUAAGGUUCAGAUGCUCAGUAACAAACUCCACCAAUGUGCCAACAGGGAAGCUUUAGGUUUAUUAAAUGUUGCUAUGAAGGUAUCACUGUUUUUCUUUGUGAAUGCAAUGUGCUCCAACUGAAACUUGAAUUAGAACUUAGAAGUAAAUCCUUCCAUCUGAAAGGAUCUAGAUGUAUUAAUAACCUCAUAACAUUCUAAUUUUUAUUCCAGUCUUGGCUGGAAAUAGAAUCUCUGUAUUGAUUCAGGUAAAAACUGAACUUCACAGCAUGUUGGAGCAAAACAACCAGAUGAAAACUGUGAUGGUGUUGGAUUGUCAGACCGUAAUGUUGCAGCUCAAAGCAGCUUUUCUAUCUCAGUUCAUUCUGACAUUCAGCUAUGAAUCAACACAGCAGAUGGUGAUCCAUGCUGUGGAAGUCUCACAUCUCCCGAUUUAAUGGAGCUGCUUUGCACUUUUUACACUGUUUAUUCACCAACACUUUAUUUAAUAAAAGUCCCAUCUAGUUUUUAUGAGGAAUGUGAUGUUUUAAUUUCUCUGUGAAUAACUGCAGUCUAAUGCAACAGCUGGAGUUGUAACAUCUGUCCUGAUAUUGAUCAUGAAGUAUUGAUCAGAAUACUUAUGGUCAGCAGUCAUCCCUGAAGUUUUACAUUAAAAUCUUUACUUGUGUUGUGAACUUUGGUAAGAAGCAGAAAUGUUAGCGUUGCCAUGGAUACAUGAGUGUUAAAUUCUGUCCAUGUUUCCAUUUUGGGAAAUGCAGUCCAGUUCCAGAAUGUGGAAGAAUUUAGUCUCACAAUCACAGACAACAAAUAUUAUCUGAAAGUCAGGUUAUUGUUGUUUAUCAGCACAAUACAAAAAGAUUAAUGUUAGAAAUAUUCCAGUUAAGACUCAUAUCAUGAUUUAUGUAAAUUUACCUCAAUAAUAUGAAUGUUCAGGUUAAGAUUGUACAGUGAUAUUUACUAUUUAAGUUUAGCUGAUUAAAGUUUAUGACUGCACUAAAAUAUUAUUUAAAUUGACAUCAUUAUUAUAAUAUUUAGGGUCACACCGUACAGUAUUGAGAUUAAGAAGUCAAAUAUUCUAUAAAAUGUAAAUACACUGAACUCAUUUGGAUAUAUUUAAGUGAAACUCUACAAUAUUAUUUGACACAAAUCUAUCUAAAUCAAAAUUUUAAUAAUUUUCACACCAAACAUUUACUGGACUGAUUUAAAUAUUAAAAUCACUCCUUUCUAAUCCUCUGCUGUACGUUCAAACCUGAGGCCUUAAAUAGAAACACACAAGUAUCUGAUUGAAGGAACUUCUGUAGAGUCCUGGUUCCAGAACAUGAUGAUAGAAUUAUAGACAAACUUUAACAAAAUCUGCCUGAGAGUUUACAGUUUUUUAUGUUGGAUUUCUUCAGUAAUUUAAUGACAGUUAUCAGCAAGAAUCAAGUGUUCAUUUGAUGAACUUAAUUUCCUAAAACUUCCAGAAUUGGAGCUCAUAUCUUUGGCAGCUGUAAAGUUUCUGCUCCUUCAAAGUUCACAACACAAUGAAUGAAUUCCUAAAACACUCUCAAUGCUGGAGAGCGUUUGUGAUGCUGAAGCAGUGACCAGUUUUUCUGUUUCUUCUCUGGAGAUGCACAAUGAGGGACGUCUGCAGAGACUGAGAAAGAGUCUCACCACAUCCUUACAUGAGGAAAAAGACUUUAUUGAAGACUACAAUGAGAAAAACUAUCCAGACAGCAGACGGCUGCAUUCAAGUCUGUAGCUGCUGAAUUCAUGGAUGAAUCAUCUGGCACUAGAGAGGAAGACCAUCAAACAUCCACGUCAGCUGAUGGAGGUCCAAGAGUCUCACCAAACAAACAACCUACAGAGUGAAGACCUCCAAUCUGAUUGGACGGCCUCCUGUUUAGCCACGUGUGAACAAAUGCCUCUAAGCUGAUUUGUUUUCUACAAUCUAGUUUGAGUCCUAAUCUAUGCCUGUGUGUUUGCUUCUUUACACUGUUGUUAACAGUUUAGGCUGUUAGAUUGUUCCAGAUAAGACAAGUACAAGAUUCUUCAGAGCCGUUCUACCACAAGCCUGACAGGAAGAACUCCAACAGCUACUGAAUGUUCCUGUGGUUCCCUCAAGGCUACAGGAGGAGCCCUACGAGGACGAGCCGGUCCACCUGAUGGUGGCCAGUCGCUGUGGUUCAAAGCCAACACCGACUACGUGGACUUCUACUGGACCACACGGAGGCCUUCAAACCAGACCAACAAGUUCAGCGACUCCCCGACUCGUGGGUCUGAGGACGCCGCCGAGCCUCGGCCCAGCCGGCCUCCUGUCUGUGGAUGUUUGAGUGCUGAGAGGUUUGUGGAUCCAUGUGAACGUUCUGUGUUGAAACAGCAGCUUUGGACUCAGUAACGCCGGGAAAAACCAAGAGCUCCUUUAUUUGUGACUUCCACUAAUAAAACUGAUGAAAAUAAGUUUGCCAGGGUUCUGACUGAUAACACAUUAUUAAAUAAUGAAAAUAACAGUUUAAAUGUUCCUUUAAACAAUCCUUUUAGGUCUACAUUUCCUUUACACUGACUUCUUGGUAUAUGCACAAGUAUUUUGGGUGGAAUAUACCAUUAAACCUGAUGUUCAAGGGUUCUUCUGGGAAUAUACCAUUAAACCAACCUUUUAGGUAAAUAUUCCAAGAUGUUGGGUAGAAUAUACCAUCAGAUCAACCUUUUAGGUCUACAUUGGAAGAUUUUAGAGUAGAAUAUUACUCCAAACCAUCCUUUAGGUCUACAUUUAAGGUGGAAUACUCCUUUACGCCAAGAUUUUUUGGUGUACGUUGAAGUAUUUUAAGUGAAAUAUUCCUUUGAAUGAACUUUUUAAGUUUAUGUUCAAGGAUGUUGGGUGGAAUAUACCAUCAGACCAACCUCCAAGGUCUACAGUAGUGAAUUUUAGGUGGAAUAUACCAUUAAACUCACCUACAUUGGACGAUUUUAGGUGGAAUUUUCUUCCAAACCGUCUUUUAGUCUACAUUUAAGGAUGUUUAGGAUGGUAUAUUCUUCCAAACCAACUUCUCAGGUCUACAUUUCAGGUGGAAUAUUCCUCCAUACUAACUUUUUUGGUCUACAUUGAAGGAUUUUUUUCUGAACCACCCUUUCAGGUCUAUAUUUGGGGUUUUAGGUGGAAUAUUCCUUUUAACCAGCCCCUCAGGUCUCUUUGAGGAUUUUGGAUGGAAUACUAGGUUAAACCAACAUUUCAGGUGCAUGUCCAAGGAUUUUUGGUGGAAUGUUCCUUUAAGGUGGAUGUUUGAGUACCUUGUAGGUGGACUACUUCCUGAAACCAACCUUUUAGGUCAACAUUCAAAGAUUUAAGGUGGAAUAUUCUUUUAAACCAAACUAAAUUUCAUGUUUUGAUCAUUAUCAAUUGAGAAACCUCAAUCCAGACUCCCCAUAAUGACGUUUGAGAUUUAUGCUGCCCUUAUUUGUUUAGUCCAGACUAAAUGACAGAAAUCCACAACUGUAAUUUUAUUUCAGGACUCGGUUAUUAAAUGUCAAAACAAUCCAUGUGACUCUAAAAACUCAACAGCUUUACAAACUAAGAUUAAACUCUCCACAAGGAUCCAAAAUAAGUUGAACUUCUACGUGAGAGCUUGAAUUAUUCUUCAUCUACUUCCUGAAAAGUUUGGUCAAUAAAAAAGACAAAAACUAGUAUUUUCAGCUGAACUAAAGAUAGACUUUGUGAUUUUUCUGUUCACAUGUUGUGUUGUUGUAAACUUACUCUUUCAAAUAAAUAUCCUCCUAACCCCCUGGAA
ensembl:lncRNA